rnacentral:rRNA from 1 species
GGAUACCUACGCGGGGCAGCAGUGAGGAAUAUUGGUCAAUGGGCGGAAGCCUGAACCAGCCACGUCGCGUGAGGGAAUAAGGCCCUACGGGUCGUAAACCUCUUUUGCCGGGGAGCAAGGGCCGGGACGAGUCCCGGUCCGGAGAGUACCCGGAGAAAAAGCAUCGGCUAACUCCGUGCCAGCAGCCGCGGUAAUACGGAGGAUGCGAGCGUUAUCCGGAUUUAUUGGGUUUAAAGGGUGCGUAGGCGGGCUUUUAAAUCAGCGGUAAAAAUUCGGGGCUCAACCCCGUCCGGCCGUUGAAACUG